AGCGGGGUAGAGGAAUUGGUCAACUCAUCAGGCUCAUGACCUGAAGAUUUCUGAUUCGUAAGUCACUCCGUGC
rnacentral:tRNA from 1 species